rnacentral:rRNA from 1 species
UUAAGCGACUAAGCGUACACGGUGGAUGCCCUGGCAGUCAGAGGCGAUGAAGGGCGUGCUAAUCUGCGAUAAGCGCCGGUAAGGUGAUAUGAACCGUUAUAACCGGCGAUACCCGAAUGGGGAAACCCAGUGUGACUCGUCACACUAUCAUUAACUGAAUCCAUAGGUUAAUGAGGCGAACCGGGGGAACUGAAACAUCUAAGUACCCCGAGGAAAAGAAAUCAACCGAGAUUCCCCCAGUAGCGGCGAGCGAACGGGGAGGAGCCCAGAGCCUGAAUCAGCAUGUGUGUUAGUGGAAGCGUCUGGAAAGGCGCGCGAUACAGGGUGACAGCCCCGUACACAAAAGCGCAUGUGCUGUGAGCUCGAUGAGUAGGGCGGGACACGUGGUAUCCUGUCUGAAUAUGGGGGGACCAUCCUCCAAGGCUAAAUACUCCUGACUGACCGAUAGUGAACCAGUACCGUGAGGGAAAGGCGAAAAGAACCCCGGCGAGGGGAGUGAAAAAGAACCUGAAACCGUGUACGUACAAGCAGUGGGAGCACAGGUUUACCUGUGUGACUGCGUACCUUUUGUAUAAUGGGUCAGCGACUUAUAUUCUGUAGCAAGGUUAACCGAAUAGGGGAGCCGGAGGGAAACCGAGUCUUAACCGGGCGUUAAGUUGCAGGGUAUAGACCCGAAACCCGGUGAUCUAGCCAUGGGCAGGUUGAAGGUUGGGUAACACUAACUGGAGGACCGAACCGACUAAUGUUGAAAAAUUAGCGGAUGACCUGUGGCUGGGGGUGAAAGGCCAAUCAAACCGGGAGAUAGCUGGUUCUCCCCGAAAGCUAUUUAGGUAGCGCCUCGUGAAUUCAUCUCCGGGGGUAGAGCACUGUUUCGGCUAGGGGGCCAUCCCGGCUUACCAACCCGAUGCAAACUGCGAAUACCGGAGAAUGUUAUCACGGGAGACACACGGCGGGUGCUAACGUCCGUCGUGAAGAGGGAAACAACCCAGACCGCCAGCUAAGGUCCCAAAGUCAUGGUUAAGUGGGAAACGAUGUGGGAAGGCCCAGACAGCCAGGAUGUUGGCUUAGAAGCAGCCAUCAUUUAAAGAAAGCGUAAUAGCUCACUGGUCGAGUCGGCCUGCGCGGAAGAUGUAACGGGGCUAAACCAUGCACCGAAGCUGCGGCAGCGAACGUAUCACUUAAAGCGAUUCAGCGGGUUACGAUUGACGGAGCGAAGCGACGUCAAAGCGUAUACAAAGUCGAGUCGGUUUAAGGAUACGUUCGUUGGGUAGGGGAGCGUUCUGUAAGCCUGUGAAGGUGGCCUGUGAGGGUUGCUGGAGGUAUCAGAAGUGCGAAUGCUGACAUAAGUAACGAUAAAGCGGGUGAAAAGCCCGCUCGCCGGAAGACCAAGGGUUCCUGUCCAACGUUAAUCGGGGCAGGGUGAGUCGACCCCUAAGGCGAGGCCGAAAGGCGUAGUCGAUGGGAAACGGGUUAAUAUUCCCGUACUUGGUGUUACUGCGAAGGGGGGACGGAGAAGGCUAUGUUGGCCGGGCGACGGUUGUCCCGGUUUAAGCGUGUAGGUGUGUGUUCCAGGUAAAUCCGGUUCACUUUAACACUGAGGCGUGACGACGAGGCACUACGGUGCUGAAGCAACAAAUGCCCUGCUUCCAGGAAAAGCCUCUAAGCAUCAGGUAACAUCAAAUCGUACCCCAAACCGACACAGGUGGUCAGGUAGAGAAUACCAAGGCGCUUGAGAGAACUCGGGUGAAGGAACUAGGCAAAAUGGUGCCGUAACUUCGGGAGAAGGCACGCUGACACGUAGGUGAAGUGAUUUACUCAUGGAGCUGAAGUCAGUCGAAGAUACCAGCUGGCUGCAACUGUUUAUUAAAAACACAGCACUGUGCAAACACGAAAGUGGACGUAUACGGUGUGACGCCUGCCCGGUGCCGGAAGGUUAAUUGAUGGGGUCAGCGCAAGCGAAGCUCCUGAUCGAAGCCCCGGUAAACGGCGGCCGUAACUAUAACGGUCCUAAGGUAGCGAAAUUCCUUGUCGGGUAAGUUCCGACCUGCACGAAUGGCGUAAUGAUGGCCAGGCUGUCUCCACCCGAGACUCAGUGAAAUUGAACUCGCUGUGAAGAUGCAGUGUACCCGCGGCAAGACGGAAAGACCCCGUGAACCUUUACUAUAGCUUGACACUGAACAUUGAGCCUUGAUGUGUAGGAUAGGUGGGAGGCUUUGAAGCGUGGACGCCAGUCUGCGUGGAGCCAACCUUGAAAUACCACCCUUUAAUGUUUGAUGUUCUAACGUGGACCCGUAAUCCGGGUUGCGGACAGUGUCUGGUGGGUAGUUUGACUGGGGCGGUCUCCUCCUAAAGAGUAACGGAGGAGCACGAAGGUUGGCUAAUCCUGGUCGGACAUCAGGAGGUUAGUGCAAUGGCAUAAGCCAGCUUGACUGCGAGCGUGACGGCGCGAGCAGGUGCGAAAGCAGGUCAUAGUGAUCCGGUGGUUCUGAAUGGAAGGGCCAUCGCUCAACGGAUAAAAGGUACUCCGGGGAUAACAGGCUGAUACCGCCCAAGAGUUCAUAUCGACGGCGGUGUUUGGCACCUCGAUGUCGGCUCAUCACAUCCUGGGGCUGAAGUAGGUCCCAAGGGUAUGGCUGUUCGCCAUUUAAAGUGGUACGCGAGCUGGGUUUAGAACGUCGUGAGACAGUUCGGUCCCUAUCUGCCGUGGGCGCUGGAGAACUGAGGGGGGCUGCUCCUAGUACGAGAGGACCGGAGUGGACGCAUCACUGGUGUUCGGGUUGUCAUGCCAAUGGCACUGCCCGGUAGCUAAAUGCGGAAGAGAUAAGUGCUGAAAGCAUCUAAGCACGAAACUUGCCCCGAGAUGAGUUCUCCCUGAGACUUUAGGUCUCCUGAAGGAACGUUGAAGACGACGACGUUGAUAGGCCGGGUGUGUAAGCGCAGCGAUGCGUUGAGCUAACCGGUACUAAUGAACCGUGAGGCUUAACCUU